rnacentral:rRNA from 1 species
UACGGAGGGUGCAAGCGUUAUCCGGAUUCACUGGGUUUAAAGGGUGCGUAGGCGGGCAGGUAAGUCAGUGGUGAAAUCUCCGGGCUUAACCCGGAACUGCCGUUGAUACUAUCUGUCUUGAAUAUUGUGGAGGUAAGCGGAAUAUGUCAUGUAGCGGUGAAAUGCUUAGAUAUGACAUAGAACACCAAUUGCGAAGGCAGCUUACUACACAGUUAUUGACGCUGAGGCACGAAAGCGUGGGGAUCAAACAGG